CUCUGGACCAAUGCAUUUGCACCUGCAAGAGCCUCUUGAGCUCACUUAUCUUCCUGGCUGCACCGGGGAGAAAAGAGGUGGCUGCCUUUUCACUGUGUCUUCACAUGACUUUUCAUCUGUUUCAUUGGCCAGAAAUAGUCAUAUGGCCCCACUGCAACUAGAGGGCUGAGGAUGUUGGAGGAGCACAUGAUUUUUUGGUGAGAAAUAAACAUUUUUUUCCACAAAGUUUAUGAAUAACAUAAG